UACGUAGGGGGCGAGCGUUGUCCGGAAUUAUUGGGCGUAAAGGGUGCGUAGGCGGCCGCUUAAGUCCUGUGUGAAAGGCCCCGGCUUAACCGGGGAGGGUCAUGGGAAACUGGGCGGCUUGAGUGCCGGAGAGGGUGGCGGAAUUCCCGGUGUAGCGGUGAAAUGCGUAGAGAUCGGGAGGAACACCAGUGGCGAAGGCGGCCACCUGGACGGCAACUGACGCUGAGGCACGACAGCUGGGGGAGCAAACAGG
rnacentral:rRNA from 1 species